GCCUUCGGGCAUCUGGUCAUAUAGAAACGAUACAGAGAAGAUUAGCAUGGCCCCUGCACUAAGGAUGACACGCUCAAUCAAAGAGAAGCUACAAGUUUUU
rfam:Ajellomyces capsulatus NAm1 scaffold_6 genomic scaffold, whole genome shotgun sequence.